CUACAGUACUUUUUUACAGGUUGUCAAGCGUCUGCCAACCCUAACGAACUCACAUACAAGUGGUACGUGAACAAUGAUCAGAUAGCUGGUGACAGCAGUGAGCUGGUACUGAAAAACAUAUCCCGGUCUUACAACGAGGCUACAGUCAAGUGUGAGGUGCACAAUAUCAUUGGAAAGAGUGCCGAUACGAAGACCUUGGAAGUGGCAUAUGGACCAACCUUCCUAGAGCGUCCCAAGAACGUGGAAGUGGAGGCUGGAUCGCAAGCUACCCUCAGCUGUAAGGUUGAUGGCCAUCCACCCCCGAAGGUGCUAUGGCUGCGGUAUGAAAACGACCGGGUUAUA